UACAGAGGAGCCAAGCGUUGUCCGGAUUGACUGGGCGUAAAGCGCACGCAGGCGGUUGCGCGCGUGGGGUGGGAAAUCUGGCCGCUUAACGGCCAGGCGCCAUCCCAUACGGCACAACUGGAGGGCUGCAGAGGUCGAUGGAAUUGCCGGUGUAGUGGUGAAAUGCGUAGAGAUCGGCAGGAACACCCAGGGGGAAACCAGUCGACUGGGCAGCACCUGACGCUGAGGUGCGAGAGCGUGGGGAGCGAACCGG
rnacentral:rRNA from 1 species